AGCUGGUUCGACUGACUCAGGGAAACACACCAACAGUGUAAGGGAGACCCCUCAGCAUGUCUUCCCCUUUACCCACUGUGUUACCUGAUGCUGACGACUGGUAGUGUCCGCCAAGGAUUCACACUAACAGUUUAUGGAAUAACACUCUUUAUUAAUAUAAAUUGUGACAGGUUAAGGUUCGAAGAUUGUCGGUGAUAGUGUCUGACUGCAAAAGUAUAUCUGAAGGAAUAUACAGACAAGCUCUAAUCCCUAAUAAAAUGUUCAGCAUGCAUAGAGUAUGAUUCUUAGCCAAUAGGCAUCUCUAUGGGGGAGAAGACAGGUUCAGCCCAUCAACUGAUCCCAGCAGCUACGAUGGAGUCUUCCCUAAUUUUUCCCCAUUCUUGACUUAUUUUUAUACUAUUUCUGUGUGUUUAGGUGGAGCUUGAGUGACUCUAGUCAUACAUACCUUUGUUACUGAUUGGUGUAAAAUUCUCUUGCUUUGCUUUUAAAGAUACAGUCAAAAAGAAUAUAGACCACAUGCCCAGUGAGGGGUGGUCGCACUUUGGAGGUGGGUAACUUUGGGAUGGAGGUGUGCGUUAAUCUUAUUAUUAGGCUUUAAUGAAGCAAGUUCAUCUAAGGAGUGUGGCAAGCACAUUUCUCUCUCUCUCAGGAUUUUUUAUUGAGGUGCACAGAGAGAAAUGAAAGAGAAAACAAUUUCUAUUUCUGCUCCUUGUUGUUCUCUUGUGGAAUGUGUUUGGAGAAUUGUUUACCCAGAGUGAGCGCUUGGUUGGAUCAUGGUGGAUUAUUUGGGCCUGAUGGCCAAUCGGAUCCACCUGUGUCUGGACUCUGGCAAACAGGGUCACGAGUUGUGAAUUAGUUAGAUAUGAGAGUUAGAGAAAGUAGCAUGUAGUAUUUAGUAUCCUCUUUUAUAUAGCAUAUUAAUGUAUUAUAGCAUAAUUAUAAUAAAGAAAUCAUUCAGCCUUCUAAAAUGGAGUUAGACAUCAUCAUUCUUCCCAUUGGGUUCGCCGACAUCUACAACAAAGGAGAGUUGAUUUCACCACAGUUGCUGGCUCAGCGGUAAGACAUCUUCCCCUAUCUCCCUUGGUUGACGGGUGGUAUGCUGUUUAUCAGCUGCAAAGUACCAUUGAGUUCCCUUCCCUGCAAGGAUUUCUGCAGAGCCUGGCUUUCGCUCCGCUCCACCCUCCGUUCCAUCCCCCUUAGCAGGUGUGUGUGUGUAUGGGGAAUCAUCACGGAAUAGGUUUCAAGUCAUGCCAACUGCAUUCCACCCAGGGAGCAGCAACUGUGAUUUACCCGAUAAUUCCCGUACUGUUAUAGCUCCUGUGAGGAUGCUAAUGUAACUCCUAAGUUUGCUCUAAUUGAAUCCCCAGUUACCGGUCCACAGGGUCCCCGGUCAUAUUCCCACACCGUGCUUUGCACUGGUAGCUAGAAAGGUGUUGAUCAGACCCCAGUGUUUUGGCUACUGCUGAGCAGUGUUGGCACAGCGUCAGUGCUGUCUCUCCAACAUUCUGCCCCAGCAUCAGUAGGCUGGGGGUGGGCAAAAUCCUGGGAGGAGACACAACCAGGACAGCUGACCCAAACUGGCCAUAGGGAUAUUCCAUAACAUAUGACAUCAGCCCAGAAAUAAAAGCAGAGUAAAAGAGGAGGAAAGGGGGGCAUUUCUCAUUUACAGUGUUUACCUUUCAGAGAAACUGCUACGUGUGCGGAAGCCCUGCUUCCCGGGAAGUGGCUAGGCAGUGCUUGCUGAUCGAAACUAGGCAAUAAUGGUUUUUUUCCCCUCUCCUUGUUCAUGCACAAACUUUCACUUUUGCUUUAGUAAACUGCCUUAUCUCAAUCUGCAAGUUGUUUUUCAUCUCUCCUGUCCAGCUGGGAAGGGGGAGUGAUAGAGUUGUUUGCUGAACACCUGGCGUCUAGCCAAGAUAAACCCACAGCAGUCUUUUUCGGUUCCUAACAUGGGCUGAGACAAUGGCAGUUAUAUAUCUUGCAUGGUAUAGCGAUAGCCGUUAUUGAGUAGCAAGCUCUUGCGCGGGAGAUGGAGUUUGUCAGCAGAGAGCAGACCACAGUUUGCUUUCAUGUGGCGAGGUGUCCAGUACACCAGGAAUCGACUGCCCCGGGGGUGGAAACACAGCCCUACCAUCUCUCAUGGACUGAUCCAAAGUGUACUGGAAAUGGGUGAUGCUCCUGAACAUCUACAAUACGUUCACGACAUCAUUGUGUGGGGCAGUGAGGCAGAAGUGUUUGAGAAGGGAAAAAGAAUAGUUCAGAAUGUUCUGAAAGCUGGGUUUGCCAUAAAGAAAAGCAAGGUCAAGGGACCUGCACAGGGCAUCCAGUUCUUGGGUGUCAAAUGGCAGGAUGGCCCCCGUCAUGUGCCUAUGGAUGUGGUUAGGAAGAUAGCAACUAUGUCUUCACCAGCUAAGAAGGUGGAAAUACCGGCUUUCGUAGGCCGCCUGGGGUUUUGGAGAAUGCAUAUUCCAGGUUAUAGUCAGCUUGUGAGGCCCCUCUAUCGAGUGACCUGGAAGAAGAACCAUUCUGAAUGGGGCCUUGGGCAACAACAGGCCUUUGAACAGAUCGAAGAGGAAAUAGCUUGCGCAGUAGCUCUUGGGCCUGUUCAGACUGGACUAGCCCUGCAAAAUAUACUCUACGCCGCAGCUGGGUAGCAUGGUCUCACUUGGAGCCUCUGGCAAAGAACAUCAAGAGAAACCCGAGGUCGACCAUUUGGGUUUUGGAGCCAGGGUUAUUGAGGGUCAGAAGGCCCGCUACACUCCAGCUGAAAAAGAAAUAUUAGCAGCGUAUGAGAGGGUUUGAGCAUCCUCAAAUGUUUUUGGGAAAGAAGCCCGUCUCCUCUUGGCACUGCAAUUUCCUCUGCUACACUAGAGGUUCAAAGGAAGCAUCCCUUUGACACAUCGUGCAAGCGGUGCUACAUGGAGUAAGUGGGUGGGUAGCCCUGAUCACACAACGAGCUUGACCGGGGAAACCCAAUUGCCUGAGAAUCCAUGAAAAAAGGCAGAGAUUUUGGAGAAUUUCUUUGAAAGGUCACUCGUGCUCAAGAAGCACCACCAUAUAAUGAGUUAUCAGAAGAUGAAAGAGGCCAUGCUCUCUUUACUGAUGGAUCCUGCCUUGUGGUAGGAAACCAUCAGAGGUGGAAAGCUGCUGUGUGGAGUCCCACACAACGAGUCGUUGAGGCCGCUGAAGGAGAAGAAAAGUGGCCUGUACUGUGUCUCUGUAGUGACUCCUGGAUGGUGGCUAAUGCCCUAUGAAGGCGGCUACAGCAAUGGAAGAAGGCCAAUUGGCAAUGCAAGGGUAAACCCAUUUGGGCUGCUGCGUUGUGGCAGGACAUCACUGCACGGAUAGAAAACAUGGCUCUGAAGGAAUGUCACAUAGAUGUUUACAUGCCCAAAAGCCAUGCCACUGCGGAACAUCACAGCAACGAACAGCUCGAUAAGGCUGCCAAAAUUGAAAUAGCUCAGGUAGACUUAGACUGGGAGCAGAAGUGUGAACUAUUUACAGCCCGAUGGGCCCAUGAAACAUCAGGACAUCUAGGAAAAGAUGCAACCUACAGAUGAGCUUGUGAUCGAGGGGUGGAUCUGAUCACAGAGGCUAUCACACAGGUCACCCAUGAAUGUGAAGCAUGUGCUGCAAUCAGGGAGUAAAGUAGCAGGAGUGACAUGAACCGACGGUGAGUGAAUUUUACGAGGAGCGAGGAGAGUGCGACGAUAGCCCGGGCAGGGCCGGUGUCGGUGCCGAAGGAUCGUGUGUGUCGCUUCUGUCCCGAGCACCCAUCUUGAUGGAAUGGAGCCCAAGUCACGGCCUGUUUUUAAACAUCCGGAGGGGUGGAGGAAACCCAUGGAAUGGGAAAAUAAUAUCUAUCUUUGAAAGGAAGGGAGACAUUAGUUAAUGAAAAUGUAUACGUGUGUUGGGCAUAAAGAUGGUUUAAGCAUGGAGUUUAAGUUGUAAGCGUUGGUAAGAAGGGAUUUCAGUCAUGACAAAUAAAUAAAGUCAGGCAAAUAAAUACAACGGAAUAAUUGGAAGACAGAUAUAUAAAUAUAAUUCUGUGGCAUCUGAGUAUGAUGCAAAUGGUGUCAAGUAAGGGGUGGAGAUUGCAUUGGGUGUGGCUGAGAUGGAGUUUGUUUUCCCCAUAGCGGCCAUCAGUGCCAUGCUUUGCAUUGGUAACUAGAAGGGUGUUGAUAACACCCCAGUGUUUUGGCUACUGCUGGGCAGUGUUGGCACAGCAUCAGCGCUGUCUCUCCAACAUUCUGUCCCUCAUCAGUAGGCUGGGGGCGGGAGGAGACACCACUAGACCAGGUGACCCAAACUGGCCAGAGGGCUAUUCUGUACCAUAUGAUGACUUCAGCUCAGAAAUAAAAGCUGAGUUAAGGAGAGGGAAGGGGGCACAUUAGUUAUUUACAACGUUUGCCUUUUGGAGCAACCCCUACGCGUGCUGAAGCCCUGCUUCUUGGAAAGUGGUCGGACAGUGCUUGCUGAUGGGAGCUAGCGGAUAUAAUUAUUUGUUUUUCCUGUUUGCUUUUUCGUGCGAAAACUUUCUCUUUUCCUUUAGUAAACUGCCUUAUCUCACCCUGUGA